rnacentral:tmRNA from 1 species
GGGGGUGAUCGGUUUCGACUGGGGAUGUCGAAACAGGGGAAGCGAGCCGAGGAACGCGGCAAUGAUCUCGUUAACCACGUGUCGCAAAAAAAUAAUCGCCAACUCCAAGCGCGAUUCCUUCGCCCUCGCUGCCUAAGUAGCGAGCUUCGAAGGUGUCAGACCGGGUGUGUUCCCGCCCCGGAUCCUGGCAUCAGCUAGGGGACUCACCGCUCGGCCCGGUCACGGGGCCGCUCGGGACAUCUCACAGUGACUGAGCCCGUCGGCAGCUUGUCUGCGUGACUGCCGGGGCUGAGAAAAGCACAGCAGACUGCGCUCGGAGAAGCCCUGAAUUGACUCCACAGGACCCGGGUUCGAUUCCCGGCACCUCCACCA